AUUACUUGAUCAUCAUCAUCAACAUUCGUCAAUCAAUAUACCUAAAUCAUCUCCGGACCUUACAUACAGCAAUAUUCAGAAAUAUCAUUCACUCAACCAUGGCCAAGAACAUCAGCAUGUUCCUCAGUUUCUUUUUAUUCGUUUUGAUUGCCAUCCCAACCUCCUCUUCGACCAGGAUGCUACUCCAGGAGGUUCAGGAACUAGCACCUUUCUGCACAGAAUAUAACCCAGCAUUGCGAUGCGCUACUCCCUGGGACCCAGAAUUUACAUGCCCAGAAGGUCAGCAUCCAUGCAGGAGCAACUGUGGAAUUUCAAGAUGCCUGGCACCUUUCUGCCCAGAAUAUAAACCAGCGUUACGAUGCGCUACCCCCUGGGACACAGAUUUUACAUGCCCAGAAGGCCAGCAUCCAUGCAGGAGCAACUGUGGACGUUCAAGAUGCCUCACAAAUUAAGCACUUCAAGCUAAUCGUACCGCGGUUCAUACAUAAGUACCUUAGCAACCGAUCACAAAAAAUAAGUACCUUAGUAAUUGUGUGGGUUGUAUUGUGAUUUGUCCGCUUAAUAUUUUGAUAUAGAUUACUAUAUCAUAUUCUUAUGUACCUAUGUUUGUAUUUUAUUCCCUACAUUUGAAGUGGACUGCGUGUUGUGCUUAAUAAAAGUUGUGCCAACUUUAUAAAUAAAAUUUAUGCUUAAGUUCGGGUA